UACGGAGGAUGCAAGCGUUAUCCGGAUUUAUUGGGUUUAAAGGGUGCGCAGGUUGUUUGAUAAGUCAGUGGUGAAAGUCUGUCGCUUAACGGUAGGAUUGCCAUUGAUACUGUUAGACUCGAGUAUGGAUGAGGUAGGCGGAAUGUGUAGUGUAGCGGUGAAAUGCAUAGAUAUUACACAGAACACCGAUUGCGAAGGCAGCUUACUAAUCCAUCAUUGACGCUGAGGCACGAAAGCGUGGGGAUCAAACA
rnacentral:rRNA from 1 species